AGCUCCUCAAGAUUUUUUUUUUUUUUAAGAUUUUAUUUAUUUAUUUGAGAAAGAGAGAGUGAGAGACAGCAGGGGCAGAGGGAGGGGCUGAGGGAGAAAAAGGCUCCCUGCUGAGCAGGGAUUGUGGGGGGGCUCCGGACAGGGGACUCAAUCCCAAGAUGCUGGGACCAUGACCCUAGCCUAAGGCAGAUGGUUAACUGUCUGAGCCACCCAGGCACUCGCUCCUGUAGAUUUUGCUGCCUAAGAGUUUUAAGAGUGGUGACCUAUAGUUGUUCACCAUGCAGGAACCACUCCCAUGGUAUCCUGCUAACAUACUACUAUUUUCUGCCAAACAGGAUUUGCAAAAGGUUAAAAGCAGUGAACCAGAUAACCUCUAUAGUCUGUUAUAGUUCAAGCUUCUCGGGCUACAGUGGGAGAAUUUCAGCCAACGUAGAGGGGAUUUACUGCUAUCAUACAGUUUUUCUUGCAAAAUGAAAAAAGGAAGAACAAAGAUUCCUCAUUGUGAAAGAGGUAAGGUUUCUACAAGCAUCCCACUUUCCAUGUUUAUUUUUAUUUAUUUUGAAUUAUUUAUUUAUUCAUUUAUUCAUUUAUUUUAAGAUGUUAUUUAUUAUUUUCCAGAGAGAGAGCGCCCAAAAGCAGGGGGAGUGGCAGGCAGCGGGAGAGGGAGAAGCGGGCUCUCCACUGAGCAGGGAGCCCAGUGUGGGACUCAAUCCCAGGACCCUAGGAACAUGACCCAAGCUGAAGACAGAUGCUUGACUGAGCCACCCAGGCAUCCCUCCAUGUUUAUUUUUAAGUGUUUUAUUGUCACCGUACUUAAAUAGGUAACUAAGUGAAUGCUCCAGAUCACCUCUUAAAUAUUUUGAUUUUUGCUUUCCAAAUUCAGGUCCUAAAUGUAGAAAAAAAUAAAAUAAAAAUUUCGGUGUAUUGUGUACUCCCGAACUAUCUUUGGGAUUUCCCAGAGGGUUCUUGAAAAAGCAUAAAUAUUUAUUCUUUUGCUUACAAAGAGGCUAGAACUAAUUAGUUCUUUUUGCUACCCUGUUAUAAGAGUUAUGUGGGAAAAGCUGUUAAAUUAGAAGGGACACUCAGUCUUCUCUAGGUUAAACUUGCAAAGGUAAAAUGUUAUUAAUAUCAAUAUUUCAGAAAUAUAUGCUUUAUUCGAAGUCUCUGGAAAUUUGUCAGUGUUUUGUUUUCCAUAAUAUACUUUAACCUCUCAUGAAGCACGGAUCAAAUUUCUUAUGAAAUAGUCUGUCAGGUUUUGUAUAAUUAUCAGAGCUCUAGGCUGCUUUAUGUGAUGAUAGAAAGCAACAAUGCUAUAUAGCAUUAUCUGUCACAUUUCAGUUUUUACUUAAAAUGUUUACUUCACCACAGCCUUCCUUUUAUCCUACGAGUAUGUUAAAAAUGACAGCUGUCCAAGGGUUUCCCAUGCCCUGUGUGUCUUUCUGGGAAUGGGGAGAUUUCAAGGCCUGACUGCUCUUUGACCUCUUCCAGAUCUCAGGGCCAUGUUCUCAUGAUGAACUUCGAGGGAUGAGCAAUGUUUCUUUCUGAAACAAAAAUUAAGCCUUACUUACUGCUUUCUAUAGAAGCGAUGGAUUGUCCCAAACACAGUGUUCCUCAGACUGUGAUAUAAACUCUCUGUGUGCACAGCUUCCAUCUGGGCUCUGUCACCCCAGUGGGAUCUGGGGACGAGGGGAACUAAUGCAAUUUUAUGUUCACAUGCUUGCUGUGAUAUGAGUAGUAGAGCUCUUUGCCUCCGAACAAGGAGUCGCAGGUCUUCUGGCAGCAUGCAUAGGACAGUAACAGGGUAUCUCAGUAGCUUAUAAGUAGAGUGAAAUCAAAUCCCACCCUCAACAAAAAGUUAGCAUCUUCUAAGCCAGUGGCGUUCAACUGGAGAUGAACAUCACACUUAGGGAAGAAAUUUUACACAUAGUUAGGCCCUACUCCAGACUUGCUGAAUCUUCUUACUUGCUAUUGCUGUAAUCUUCAUAUGUUAUAUGUUUUAUCCCUCAAGAACAUUAUAUGUUACAUCACUGCUCUAGUUGUAUAAAUCAGACAUAACAUUUAAUGACAUUUUUGAAAACUUAAUCAUUACUGUUAAGGACCUGUUUUUCGGAAUGGUUUUAUCAUCUUUGUUUUUCAUGUCAUGGAAACAGUCAGUACUGCUGUCAGUUGCAUUAUUCAUAUCCGAAACCUCAUCAUAUUUUCAAAUUUGAAGAUUGUGUGAUUGUGUGUAAUAAAUUAACCCCAGUCAUUAAGUAUCUGUUAUCUACAAACAUGGAGGCUCAGCUAUAAAGGAUGGGGAAGAGUUUGUGUCUUCACCAAAGGAGAAUUUCACCACCUCUGGGACCAGGACUGUUCUUCAAACUGUUGAUGUCUGAGAGCUGAUUUUACAUUGCUUAGAGCAAGGGUUAGCAAUCUAUGGCUUGCUGGCUGGCCC
ensembl:lincRNA